AAACUGCGAAUGGCUCAUUAAAUCAGUUAUCGUUUAUUUGAUAGUACCUUACUACAUGGAUAACCGUGGUAAUUCUAGAGCUAAUACAUGCUAAAAACCCCGACUCACGAAGGGGUGUAUUUAUUAGAUAAAAAACCAAUGCCCUUUGGGCUUCAUGGUGAAUCAUAAUAACUUAACGAAUCGCAUGGCCUUGCGCCGGCGAUGGUUCAUUCAAAUUUCUGCCCUAUCAACUUUCGAUGGUAGGAUAGUGGCCUACCAUGGUAUCAACGGGUAACGGGGAAUUAGGGUUCUAUUCCGGAGAGGGAGCCUGAGAAACGGCUACCACAUCCAAGGAAGGCAGCAGGCGCGCAAAUUACCCAAUCCCGACACGGGGAGGUAGUGACAAUAAAUACUGAUACAGGGCUCUUUUGGGUCUUGUAAUUGGAAUGAGUACAAUUUAAAUACCUUAACGAGGAACAAUUGGAGGGCAAGUCUGGUGCCAGCAGCCGCGGUAAUUCCAGCUCCAAUAGCGUAUAUUAAAGUUGUUGCAGUUAAAAAGCUCGUAGUUGAACCUUGGGCCUGGCUGGCCGGUCCGCCUCACCGCGUGUACUGGUCCGGCCGGGCCUUUCCUUCUGGGGAACCGCAUGCCCUUCACUGGGCGUGUGUGGGAACCAGGACUUUUACUUUGAAAAAAUUAGAGUGUUCAAAGCAGGCCUUUGCUCGAAUACAUUAGCAUGGAAUAAUAGAAUAGGACGUGUGGUUCUAUUUUGUUGGUUUCUAGGACCGCCGUAAUGAUUAAUAGGGAUAGUCGGGGGCAUCCGUAUUCAAUUGUCAGAGGUGAAAUUCUUGGAUUUAUUGAAGACGAACUACUGCGAAAGCAUUUGCCAAGGAUGUUUUCAUUAAUCAGUGAACGAAAGUUAGGGGAUCGAAGACGAUCAGAUACCGUCGUAGUCUUAACCAUAAACUAUGCCGACUAGGGAUCGGGGGGUGUUAUCAUUUUGACCUCCUCGGCACCUUACGAGAAAUCAAAGUCUUUGGGUCUGGGGGGA
rnacentral:rRNA from 1 species